rnacentral:piRNA from 1 species
UCUUCUGUCAUGUCCUGUGGUCCGUGUAC